ACGGGUGCGGAACACGUACGCAACCUUCCCAAAACUGGGGGAUAGCUUUCGGAAACGAAAAUUAAUACCCCGUAAUACAGUGAGAUGGCAUCAUUUUAUUGUUAUAGUUCCGACGGUUUUGGAUGGGCGUGCGCCUGAUUAGGUAGUUGGCGGGGUAACAGCCCACCAAGCCUACGAUCAGUAACUGGUGUGAGAGCACGACCAGUCACACGGGCACUGAGACACGGGCCCGACUCCUACGGGAGGCAGCAGUAAGGAAUAUUGGUCAAUGGACGCAAGUCUGAACCAGCCAUGCCGCGUGGAGGAUGAAGGCCCUCUGGGUUGUAAACUUCUUUUAUCGAAGAAGAAACCCUAGCAUUCUUGCUGGGUUGACGGUACUCGAUGAAUAAGCACCGGCUAACUCCGUGCCAGCAGCCGCGGUAAUACGGAGGGUGCAAGCGUUAUCCGGAUUCACUGGGUUUAAAGGGUGCGUAGGCGGGUUGGAAAGUCAGUGGUGAAAUCUUCAAGCUUAACUUGGAAACUGCCGUUGAUACUAUCAAUCUUGAAUAUUGUGGAGGUAAGCGGAAUAUGUCAUGUAGC
rnacentral:rRNA from 1 species